rnacentral:rRNA from 1 species
GACGAGUCUGACGGAGCACGCCGCGUGAACGAUGAAGGCCUUCGGGUCGUAAAGUUCUGUUGUUAGGGAAGAACAAGUACCGGAGUAACUGCCGGUACCUUGACGGUACCUAACCAGAAAGCCACGGCUAACUACGUG